UACGGGGGGAGCAAGCGUUGUUCGGAUUUACUGGGCGUAAAGCGCGUGUAGGCGGUCCGGUAAGUCCGCUGUGAAAGUCGGGGGCUUAACCCUCGGAUGCCGGUGGAUACUGUCGGGCUUGAGUACGGAAGAGGCGAGUGGAAUUCCUGGUGUAGCGGUGAAAUGCGCAGAUAUCAGGAGGAACACCAAUUGCGAAGGCAGCUCGCUGGGACGUUACUGACGCUGAGACGCGAAAGCGUGGGGAGCAAACAGG
rnacentral:rRNA from 1 species